GGUUAAGCUACGAAGAGUGCACGGUGGAUGCCUUGGCGUCCAGAGCCUAAGAAGGACGUGGCCCAGCAACGAUAUGCUCCGGGGAGCCGCUAGCAGGCAUUGAUCCGGAGAUCUCCGAGAUCGGGAAACCGGACAGAGGUAGUGCUCUGUCACCGCGCAAGCGGAGGGAACGCAGGGAACUGAAACAUCUCAGUACCUGCAGGAAAAGAAAGAAAACUCGACUCCCCAAGUAGCGGCGAGCGAACGGGGAUCAGCCUAAACCAUCGCGGUGUAAGGUAGCGGCCGUUGCCGCGGUGGUGUCGUGGGAUCCGCAGAGCCUCCCGCAGGGGCUCAGGAAGUCAACAAGUUCAUCAUUAGACGAAUGGCAUGGGAAGGCCAGCCGCAGAGGGUGACAGCCCCUUAGUCGAAAGUGAUGGACCUUCCGCGGCGAUCCCAAGUAGCGCCAGACACGGGAAACCUGGCGUGAAUCCGGGGGGACCACCCCCCAAGGCUAAGUACUACUGGACGACCGAUAGCGUAAUAGUAGCGCGAGCGAAAGGUGAAAAGUACCCCUGAAGGGGAGUGAAAUAGUACCUGAAACCGUGUACUUACAAGCUGUCGAAGGCCUAUGGCUCCUCGGAGCAACGGCUAACGGCGUGCCUUUUGCAUAAUGAUCCUGCGAGUUACUCUAUCUGGCAAGGUUAAGGGCCUCAGGCCCGUAGCCGAAGCGAAAGCGAGUGUGAAUAGCGCGAUUCAAGUCAGGUGGAGUAGACCCGAAAGCCAGCGAUCUAUCCAUGAGCAGGCUGAAGCGGAUGUAACAGUCCGUGGAGGGCCGAACGAGUAUGGGUUGAAAACCGUUUCGAUGACUUGUGGAUAGGAGUGAAAGGCUAAUCAAGCUGGCAAAUAGCUGGUUCUCCCCGAAAUAGCUUUCGGGCUAGUCUUUGGUGAUAGUGUGUGGGGGUAGAGCUACUGAAUGGGAUAGGGGCCUUUCGGGGUACCCUACCUAAUCAAACUCCGAAUACCAUGCACCGUAUCCAGGGAAUCAGUCUACGAGCGAUAAGGUUCGUGGUCGAGAGGGAAACAACCCAGACCACCAGCUAAGGUCCCCAAUGCGUGCUAAGUGUAGAAAAGGAAGUGGAAUCUCGAAGACAGCCAGGAUGUUGGCUUAGAAGCAGCCAUCAUUUAAAGAGUGCGUAAUAGCUCACUGGUCGAGAGGUCCUGCGCCGAAAAUGAACGGGGCUCAAGCACGCAACCGAAGCUGUGGAUUCCGAGGAGCUGUCAGCUCCUCGGUCUGGUAGGGGAGCGUUCCAGGCGAGUGAAGGAGGACGGUAACGACCUCUGGACGCCUAGGAAGUGAUUAUGCAGGAAUUAGUAGCGAGAAAGCAGGUGAGAAUCCUGCUCGCCGCAAACCCAAGGUUUCCUGGGCACGGUAAAUCCGCCCAGGGUUAGUCGGACCCUAAGACGAGGCCGAAAGGCGUAGUCGAUGGAAGACAGGUUAAUAUUCCUGUACCACCGGGUCGCGUCAUACCGAUGGAGGGACGCGGGAAGAAAUGGAAUCGCACUGACAGAUGUGCGUACAAGCCUGAGGGUGGCAUGUAGGAAAAUCCGCAUGCAUAAGCCCAGGGGUGAUGUCGAGCCGCAAGGCGAAGUUCCGGGACCAACCGCCGAGAAAAUCUUCUAGGAAGUGACUUUGGUGUCCGUACCAAAACCGACACAGGUGGGUGAGGUGAAUAUCCUAAGGCGCUCGAGAGAAAUGCCGUUAAGGAACUCGGCAAAUUAACCCCGUAACUUCGGGAUAAGGGGUACCCAGUAGGGUGUAGGCCUUCGCGGUCGAAGCUCUGUUGGGUCGCAGAGAAAUGGCCCAUGCAACUGUUUACUAAAAACACAGGUCUGUGCGAAGUCGUGACGACGAAGUAUACAGACUGACGCCUGCCCAAUGCCGGAAGGUUAAGAGGAGGGGUUAGCGAAAGCGAAGCUCCGAAUUGAAGCCCCGGUGAAUGGCGGCCGUAACUAUGACGGUCCUAAGGUAGCGAAAUUCCUUGUCGGGUAAGUUCCGACCCGCACGAAAGGCGUAAUGAUAUGGGCUCUGUCUCAACGGCAUGCUCGGCGAACUUGUAGCUGUGGUGAAGAUGCCACGUUCCCGCGUCAAGACGGAAAGACCCCGUGAACCUUUACUAUAGCCUGAUAUUGAGGCUUGUCAUGUAGUGCGUAGCAUAGGUGGGAGACGUCGAAGCUGGGCUCUCGGGCCUGGUGGAGUCAUCAGUGAAAUACCACUCUCUGCUUGAUAGGUCUCUAACACGAUGCCGUGAAUCCGGGUCGUGAACAGUGUCAGGUGGGUAGUUUGGCUGGGGCGGUCUCCUCCAAAAAGGUAACGGAGGAGCACGAUGGUGCACUCAGUGCGGUUGGCAAUCGCACGUAGAGCGUAAGGGUAUAAGUGCGCCUGACUGCAAGAGAUAUAGCUCAAGCAGGUACGAAAGUAGGUCCUAGUGAUCCGGCGGAUUCCGAGUGGAAGGGCCGUCGCUCAUCAGAUAAAAGGUACUCCGGGGAUAACAGGCUGA
rnacentral:rRNA from 1 species